UACGAAGGGGGCUAGCGUUGCUCGGAAUCACUGGGCGUAAAGCGCACGUAGGCGGCUUUCUAAGUCAGGGGUGAAAUCCUGGAGCUCAACUCCAGAACUGCCUUUGAUACUGGAGAGCUUGAGUCCGGGAGAGGUGAGUGGAACUGCGAGUGUAGAGGUGAAAUUCGUAGAUAUUCGCAAGAACACCAGUGGCGAAGGCGGCUCACUGGCCCGGUACUGACGCUGAGGUGCGAAAGCGUGGGGAGCAAACAGG
rnacentral:rRNA from 1 species